AAUUUUAGCUGAUAUUCGGUGACACUGUUUCUGGAAUAUGUCAGCACAAUAUACAAGAUAUCUUUUAGAUGACAAUGCUCUGCUAAUUGUGCUCGACAAUAAAGAGAACAAAAAACAAAAUCGAUUACAUUUAUAGCAUUUAUAGGAGUACAUGGCUUAUUCAUAUCCCAAACAUUAUGGGUGUUUUGGACUUUGGAGUGCCUGAAUAUGUUGAUUCAAUGGUUAAUAUGCAAA
rnacentral:misc_RNA from 1 species